rnacentral:lncRNA from 1 species
CCGUUCAAAAAAACCGGCGGUUCAACAUUUUGAUACUCAUUUUCCGGUUCGCCGCCUUCUGCUUCUCACUCGCCUCUGCAAUUUUCAUGUUCGCUAACUCUCACGGCGGUGGCUCUGAUUCCGAUUCCGAUUCUCUUCGGUGGUACCACUUCGAUGCGUUCAGGUACUACUACUAUUAGCUCUUUCUAUUUUCUAAAAAAAAAAGUAUCAAAUUGAACUAAAUUAAACAUAUUUGCAAAAUUCAAUUAGCUGAUAAAACUACCUUAAUUUGAGAAUUUUAGAUGAAAUUUCUUCGAUUCCUUCUUCUCCCUUCACUUAUCUCAUCUCGACGAGGAUGAGUCAAAGCAGGACUAACAAAUUUCUAAGGA